rnacentral:rRNA from 1 species
GAUGAACGCUGGCGGCGUGCCUAACACAUGCAAGUCGAACGGAGUUUAUAUUAUGAAGUUUUCGGAUGGAUUAAUGUAAACUUAGUGGCGGACGGGUGAGUAACGCGUGGGUAACCUGCCUCAUACAGGGGGAUAACAGUUGGAAACGGCUGCUAAAACCGCAUAAGCAUACAUUGUCGCAUGACAGAGUGUGAAAAUAUUUAUAGGUAUGAGAUGGGCCCGCGUCUGAUUAGCUAGUUGGUAAGGUAACGGCUUACCAAGGCGACGAUCAGUAGCCGGCUUGAGAGAGUGACCGGCCACAUUGGGACUGAGACACGGCCCAAACUCCUACGGGAGGCAGCAGUGGGGAAUAUUGCACAAUGGGGGAAACCCUGAUGCAGCGACGCCGCGUGAGUGAAGAAGUAUUUCGGUAUGUAAAGCUCUAUCAGCAGGGAAGAAAAUGACGGUACCUGACUAAGAAGCCCCGGCUAACUACGUG